UGAUAUGGCUUAAGUGGUAGAGCACCUGCCUAACAAGCUUGAGGCCCUGAGUUCAAAUCCCAGUAUACCAA
rnacentral:tRNA from 1 species